GUCCCUGUAGCGCAAUAUAUAGCGCAUUGGACUUCUAAUCCAAAGCUCAUGGGUUCAAAUCCCAUGGCUGAGAUG